GCUGCCAUAGCUCAGUGGUAGAUCAUCUGUCUUGCCUGCAGAAGGUCUCUAGUUCAACCCCUGACACUUCAGGUAGGGCU